UACGUAGGGUGCGAGCGUUGUCCGGAAUUAUUGGGCGUAAAGAGCUUGUAGGCGGUUUGUCGCGUCUGCCGUGAAAAUCCGAGGCUCAACCUCGGACUUGCGGUGGGUACGGGCAGACUAGAGUGUGGUAGGGGAGACUGGAAUUCCUGGUGUAGCGGUGGAAUGCGCAGAUAUCAGAAGGAACACCGAUGGCGAAGGCAGAUCUCUGGGCCGUAACUGACGCUGAGGAGCGAAAGCAUGGGGAGCGAACAGG
rnacentral:rRNA from 1 species